GACGAACGCUGGCGGCGUGCUUAACACAUGCAAGUCGAACGAAGAGCGAUGGAAGCUUGCUUCUAUCACUCUUAGUGGCGAACGGGUGAGUAACGCGUAAUCAACCUGCCCUUCAGAGGGGGACAACAGUUGGAAACGACUGCUAAUACCGCAUACGAUCUAAUCUCGGCAUCGAGGAUAGAUGAAAGGUGGCCUCUACAUGUAAGCUAUCACUGAAGGAGGGGAUUGCGUCUGAUUAGCUAGUUGGAGGGGUAAAGGCCCACCAAGGCGAUGAUCAGUAGCCGGUCUGAGAGGAUGAACGGCCACAUUGGGACUGAGACACGGCCCAGACUCCUACGGGAGGCAGCAGUGGGGAAUCUUCCGCAAUGGACGAAAGUCUGACGGAGCAACGCCGCGUGAGUGAUGACGGCCUUCGGGUUGUAAAGCUCGGUUAAUCGGGACGAAAGACCUUCUUGCGAAUAGUGAGAAGGAUUGACGGUACCGGAAUAGAAAGCCACGGCUAACUACGUG
rnacentral:rRNA from 1 species